rnacentral:snRNA from 1 species
AGCUUUGCGCAGUGGCAGUAUCACAGCCAAUGAGGUUUAUACGACGCGGGAUGAUUGCUAAUGGAAAAAUCUUUAUAGCUCCGAGCCAUUUCAAUCAGUCCUGCAUUCCAAUGC